UACGUAGGGGGCAAGCGUUGUCCGGAAUUAUUGGGCGUAAAGAGCGCGUAGGCGGUCCGAUAAGUCGGCUGUGAAAGUCCAGGGCUCAACCCUGGAAAGCCGGCCGAUACUGUCGGACUAGAGUCCGGAAGAGGCAAGUGGAAUUCCCGGUGUAGCGGUGAAAUGCGCAGAUAUCGGGAGGAACACCAAUUGCGAAGGCAGCUUGCUGGGACGGUACUGACGCUGAGGUGCGAAAGCGUGGGGAGCAAACAGG
rnacentral:rRNA from 1 species